rnacentral:ribozyme from 16 species
AUAUACUGUACUCAUACAUCGUCGAGAAAAAAAUUAUAAAUAUAAAACAAAUAAAUUAAAAAAUGGAAAGCCACACCUUUAUUUUUGCUUC